GGUUGUGUAGUGUAGUGGUUAUCACUCUGGAUUUUGAAAACAUCAAAACUUUCCAGUAACCCCGGUUCGAACCCGGGCACGACCU
rfam:Neurospora crassa OR74A linkage group IV, whole genome shotgun sequence.